UUCGUGUCAAGCAGUGUGUAGGUUAAACUUGCACUUCCAAAAUAUAUGUUAUUACUUUGCUUUGAUACCGUGUUUUUCAGUGAAAACAACUCAAAAUCUAGACCUAAAUACAAUUCUAUUUUUUUUCUUUUCACAGAGCUCAUUCGUGGACUGCUUGAUUAUUGAUCAGGCUUGAGCGUCGAUGUGACACCACAGUCUCUGACCACAGGGACUAGAUCUACUUCACUGCUAGCAUCGCCAACAUCAGGACGGAGAUUUGUCACGAAAGUGACAGCACCGCCUGAGGACAAGUGUAGUAUUCCCCUUCCAGGAAAAGCUCAAUUGCGAUCAUCGGACAAUAGACUAAUCUCCCACGCCGCCACAGAACUCGGGAGAGUGUCAAGUUUCUGGGAUUGAUUCUGAUUGCAGUUUUCAAAUUGAGGUACGUACCAUCUUUAUUUACGUAAAUCUUUAUACAUUGUACAUUGCUUUUGAACUGGCUUCUGUAGUGUAGUGAUUAUAUAGCGCUUCGCCGCCCCACGCAGAAGACCCGAGUUCGAUUCCCGUGUGGGGUAAGUUUUAUCGAAUAUCCCGGUCUUUCUGAUGGGACGUUGUAUCCCUCUCAACCCACAUUGGCUCUGACAAUCAGGGAUGAUGCCUGCCUCCCAUAUUAUCUAAAUUGUAUUGAUGAGGGCAUUAUGAUAUAAACAUCUGCAAUAAAAUACAUACAUACAUAUUUACAUUUCUUUUGCGGGAGAUUUAUGCUGUUAGUGUGUGUUCUUUCUACAUCAGCCAUACCCAAACAAAAUCGAUCAAUAAUAGAAUUUUGCUUUCGUUACCACAUACUUUGUGUU